rnacentral:rRNA from 1 species
UACGGAGGAUCCAAGCGUUAUCCGGAUUUAUUGGGUUUAAAGGGUGCGUAGGCGGCCUAUUAAGUCAGGGGUGAAAGACGGUAGCUUAACUAUCGCAGUGCCUUUGAUACUGAUGGGCUUGAAUGAACUAGAGGUAGGCGGAAUGUGACAAGUAGCGGUGAAAUGCAUAGAUAUGUCACAGAACACCAAUUGCGAAGGCAGCUUACUAUGGUUUUUAUUGACGCUGAGGCACGAAAGCGUGGGGAUCAAACAGG